CCGGGGGCGAGCGCUGCUGACAAAGGCGCUGGCUGCACCGGGCCGCAGCUGCUGCCUCGCGCCACGACGAGGGAGCGCGCGUUACUUUCAUCCAAAUCCUCUUAGGCGGCGUGACCGCCGGCAGCGGGCAGCGCUCACGCUCCGCGCCGCUCCGUGCGGGCAGAGGGGCGCGUCCCGUCCGGCGCUUCGGGCGGUGACCGCGGGCACGGAGCGGGGAGAGGGGCGGCGGAGGGGCGCGGGACCGAGCGCGGUGCUCUGCCGGGAAGACGCUGAACUUCUCGUGUGCUGAGGAGCCAGAUGAGCAGCACAAGUCAUUAGUCACCCAGAAGCCAGGAGACUUCUGCAAUAAAUGGCCCAAGAUGUUGGAAUGCCCAAAAUCUCUAAGAAAACAGAUUUCAAGGGUCUCAGGCAUCCUUGUUGAUGGGUACAAGAGUCGCUCCAACAUGGCAGUCUCCAGCAGUCCCCUAUCACUUAAGCCAGUAAUGAGCAGUGCUGCUUCUGAUGUGGAGGUCAUAACCUUUACAGAAAGCAGGGUAUGGCCACUGAGACGAAACAUCUCAUUUUCAAGAACAUCUUCGGGGAUGAUGGCAAAUUACAGACACCCACAGCGAUGCGCUCGGCGUUAAAGAAUAUAGUGUAAAAUCGAAUAUGACAAGCAGAGGGCCUGUUUUUGUUUCAUUGCUUUUUCUUAUAAACAGAACAAUACAUUUGCUUAAAAGCUAGAUAAAUUGUGAAAGGAUGUAAUAUUCUGUACUGUGAUGUUCUGGUCCAGUGGCUUAGAAUAACUAAAGAAUCGUAUUUGGUUUUUGCUUUAGAGAAUUUAAACUCCAUCACCUUCACAGCUCUCAGUCUGCAUCAGUUAUUGAACAGGAGCUGAUAUUGUGCUAGAUGAAGAAAUAAGAACCCAAUAAACAGCAAAACAGCUUUAUGCA
rnacentral:lncRNA from 1 species